GACAGAGAACCAUGCGUCCAGCUCCUGCUGAAUCCCCCCAGGGUGGAAACGCAGCAAGGGUAGGCGGUUGUAGCGGACGGCAUGUGUUCUCUAUUUUU
rnacentral:SRP_RNA from 1 species